ACAUAGCUAGCCGCAUUCGUGCUUAAUCAGCAGACUCAAGUCGUGUGGACACACAUAGGCAUUGUUCAUGUCAACGCUACAGAGCGCCAGACGCUCAGUAUAAAAAACACACCCCCGCGGGGGUCUACAUAGAGUUUGGUUGUUCCUCCGCGCGCCCUGUCGGGUGCGACGCACCCCGGGAGAGAUCCCGCCCGAGGCAACAGUUUGGUAACGUUCACAUUGGGUUUGGGAGUGUAAACUCGUAAAGACUCUUACGUGUUGGGCUGCGGAGGGAUCAUUACCGAGUUUACAACUCCCAAACCCAAUGUGAACGUUACCAAACUGUUGCCUCGGCGGGAUCUCUGCCCCGGGUGCGUCGCAGCCCCGGACCAAGGCGCCCGCCGGAGGACCAACCAAAACUCUUAUUGUAUACCCCCUCGCGGGUUUUUUUAUAAUCUGAGCCUUCUCGGCGCCUCUCGUAGGCGUUUCGAAAAUGAAUCAAAACUUUCAACAACGGAUCUCUUGGUUCUGGCAUCGAUGAAGAACGCAGCGAAAUGCGAUAAGUAAUGUGAAUUGCAGAAUUCAGUGAAUCAUCGAAUCUUUGAACGCACAUUGCGCCCGCCAGUAUUCUGGCGGGCAUGCCUGUCCGAGCGUCAUUUCAACCCUCGAACCCCUCCGGGGGGUCGGCGUUGGGGAUCGGCCCUGCCUUGGCGGUGGCCGUCUCCGAAAUACAGUGGCGGUCUCGCCGCAGCCUCUCCUGCGCAGUAGUUUGCACACUCGCAUCGGGAGCGCGGCGCGUCCACAGCCGUUAAACACCCAACUUCUGAAAUGUGACCUCGGAUCAGGUAGCAUCCCC
rnacentral:rRNA from 1 species